rnacentral:rRNA from 1 species
UUUGCAAGGUGCUGCAUGGUUGUCGUCAGCUCGUGCCGUGAGGUGUCCGGGUUAAGUCCCAUAACGAGCGCAACCCUUAUCGUUAGUUGCCAGCGGGUAAUGCCGGGAACUCUAACGAAACUGCCGGUGUAAAACCGUGAGGAAGGUGGGAUGACGUCAAAUCAGCACGGCCCUUAUGUCCAGGGCUACACACGUGUUACAAUGGCCGGUACAGAGGGCAGCUACCUGGAGACAGGAUGCGAAUCUCCAAAGCCGGUCUCAGUUCGGAUCGGAGUCUGCAACUCGACUCCGUGAAGCUGGAUUCGCUAGUAAUCGCGCAUCAGCCAUGGCGCGGUGAAUACGUUCCCGGGCCUU